UCCCUUAUAGUUCAGUUGGUAAAGAAUCUGCCUUUGCAGGAGACCCAGGUUCAAUUCCUGGUUUGGGAA
rnacentral:tRNA from 1 species